rnacentral:lncRNA from 1 species
UAUUUAGUUAUGAUAUAAAGAAUACAAUAUAAUCUUGGUAUGUCGUGUAACUAAAAAAGGAAUCAAUGUGUGAUCAAUUUUUUUAAUGUACUUAAUAAAUACAUGCGGCUGCAAUAAAAGAGUUUAUUUGAAGACUACAUUUUUUGUGUAGUCAUCAUCUUCUCCUUUCAACUUUUCUUCCCUAGUUAAAACUUUUGUCGUAGUCUGUGAAACAUCUCUGGAUAAAGCCACAUACAACUGUCCAUGACUAAAAACAUGUUGUGGAAGAUAUAUUCCAACAUUUG